rnacentral:sRNA from 1 species
CUCCGAUCCCUGGGGGAGAAGAGGCAGCUCUACUAUGCCAUGGAGCACCUGGGGACCAGCUUCAAGGAUCCUGACCCCUGGACCCCUGCAGCUCUCAUCCCUGAGGCACUUAGAGAAAAGCUCAGGUAGGAUAUGCCCCGUGGUGGGAGGGGCUUGGCCCGAGCUGGGAGGCUGGGUCUGGACUGUCCUGGGCACCCACUGAGCGCAUCUCUCACCCCUGAGAGAGGAUCAGGAGAAGAGGCCUUGGGACCAUGAGCCCGUGAAGCCAAAGCCCUUGACCUACUGGAAGGGUGAGUUCCUGGGAGGGAGAAGGCAGGAGCCUGGAGGGUCUGGGGGCUGCCAGCUACUGCUCUGCCUGCCCUUAGGGGAUGCUCAGCCCCCUCUGCUCUGUCUUUCCCCUGGCAGAUGUCCUUCUGCUGGAGGGUGUGACCUUGACCCAGGAUUCCAGGCAGCUGAAUGGGUCGGAGCGGGCGGUGUUGGAUGGGCUGCUCACCCCAGCCGAGUGUGGGGUGCUGCUGCAGCUGGCUAAGGAUGCAGCUGGGGCUGGAGCCAGGUCUGGCUAUCGUGGUCGCCGCUCCCCUCACACCCCCCAUGAACGCUUCGAGGGGCUCACAGUGCUUAAGGCUGCGCAGCUGGCCCGGGCUGGGACAGUGGGCAGUCAGGGUGCUAAGCUGCUUCUGGAGGUGAGCGAGCGGGUGCGGACCUUGACCCAGGCCUACUUCUCCCCGGAACGGCCCCUGCAUCUGUCCUUCACCCACCUGGUGUGCCGCAGCGCCAU